rnacentral:lncRNA from 1 species
GAUGAGAGCACAAAAGUGCGACCUACAUGUUACUAAAAUUAGUGUUAUUGCUAACUAAUAAUGAUAAAUUCACUAGAUUAAUAUUAUAUUUGGGUUUAACAUAGAUUAGUAUAAAUUAAGAGAUAAAAUGCACAUUGAGUACAAAUUUGACUUCAAAUCGGGUCCGAGUCGGGUUCGGGUCCGAGUCGGGUUCGGGUCCGAAUCGGCUCCAUUUCUUUU